rnacentral:rRNA from 1 species
GACGAACGCUGGCGGCGUGCUUAACACAUGCAAGUCGAACGGAAAGGCCCUGCUUUUGUGGGGUGCUCGAGUGGCGAACGGGUGAGUAACACGUGAGUAACCUGCCCUUGACUUUGGGAUAACUUCAGGAAACUGGGGCUAAUACCGGAUAGGAGCUCCUGCUGCAUGGUGGGGGUUGGAAAGUUUCGGCGGUUGGGGAUGGACUCGCGGCUUAUCAGCUUGUUGGUGGGGUAGUGGCUUACCAAGGCUUUGACGGGUAGCCGGCCUGAGAGGGUGACCGGCUACAUUGGGACUGAGAUACGGCCCAGACUCCUACGGGAGGCAGCAGUGGGGAAUAUUGCACAAUGGGCGGAAGCCUGAUGCAGCAACGCCGCGUGCGGGAUGACGGCCUUCGGGUUGUAAACCGCUUUCGCCUGUGACGAAGCGUGAGUGACGGUAAUGGGUAAAGAAGCACCGGCUAACUACGU